GGGGGGGGGGGGGGGGGGGGGGGGGGGGGGGGGGGGGGGCGGACGGGCGGGGAGCGGGCGGCUCGGAUGGGAGCGGCGGGGGGGUGAGUGACACGUGGAGAACCUACCUAUAAGACGGGGAGAACUUCGGGAAACCGGAGCUAAUACCGGAUAAUCUUUUGAACCGCAUGGUUCAAAAGUGAAAGACGGUCGUGCUGUCACUUAUAGAUGGAUCCGCGCUGCAUUAGCUAGUUGGUAAGGUAACGGCUUACCAAGGCAACGAUGCAUAGCCGACCUGAGAGGGUGAUCGGCCACACUGGAACUGAGACACGGUCCAGACUCCUACGGGAGGCAGCAGUAGGGAAUCUUCCGCAAUGGGCGAAAGCCUGACGGAGCAACGCCGCGUGAGUGAUGAAGGUCUUCGGAUCGUAAAACUCUGUUAUUAGGGAAGAACAUAUGUGUAAGUAACUGUGCACAUCUUGACGGUACCUAAUCAGAAAGCCACGGCUAACUACGUG
rnacentral:rRNA from 1 species